GACAGAGGGUGCAAACGUUGUUCGGAAUUACUGGGCGUAAAGCGUGCGCAGGCGGCUGUGCAAGACAGGUGUGAAAUCCCCGGGCUUAACCUGGGAACUGCACUUGUGACUGCAUGGCUGGAGUACGGCAGAGGGGGAUGGAAUUCCGCGUGUAGCAGUGAAAUGCGUAGAUAUGCGGAGGAACACCGAUGGCGAAGGCAGCCCCCUGGGCCAACACUGACGCUCAGGCACGAAAGCGUGGGGAGCAAACAGG
rnacentral:rRNA from 1 species